rnacentral:rRNA from 1 species
CCUACGGGGUGCAGCAGUGGGGAAUAUUGCACAAUGGGCGCAAGCCUGAUGCAGCCAUGCCGCGUGUAUGAAGAAGGCCUUCGGGUUGUAAAGUACUUUCAGCGAGGAGGAAGGCGAUAAGGUUAAUGACCUUGUCGAUUGACGUUACCCGCAGAAGAAGCACCGGCUAACUCCGUGCCAGCAGCCGCGGUAAUACGGAGGGUGCAAGCGUUAAUCGGAAUUACUGGGCGUAAAGCGCACGCAGGCGGUCUGUCAAGUCGGAUGUGAAAUCCCCGGGCUCAACCUGGGAACUGCAUUCGAAACUGGCAGGCUAGAGUCUUGUAGAGGGGGGUAGAAUUCCAGGUGUAGCGGUGAAAUGCGUAGAGAUCUGGAGGAAUACCGGUGGCGAAGGCGGCUUACUGGUCUGCAACUGACGCUGAGGCGCGAAAGCGUGGGGAGCAAACAGGAUUAGAUACCCCGGUAGUC